CGCUUUAGCUCAGUUGGUAGAGCAGCGCAUUCGUAAUGCGCAGGUCGCGGGUUCGAGUCCCGUUCGCG
rnacentral:tRNA from 1 species